GGGUCGCUAGCUCAAUUGGUAGAGCAGGGGCCUCUUAAGCCCAAGGUUCUGGGUCCGAUUCC
rnacentral:tRNA from 1 species